AAUCAACGCUGGCGGCGUGCCUCAGACAUGCAAGUCGAACGCUGCUGUUCGCCUUCGGGUGGACAGCGGAGUGGCGCACGGGUGAGUAACACGUAGGUAAUCUACCUUUGGGUGGGAAUAACAGCCGGAAACGGCUGCUAAUACCGCAUAAUGCAGCGGCAUCACAUGAUGACAGUUGUUAAAGCGGGGGAGUCGUAAGACCUCGCGCCUGAAGAGGAGCCUGCGGCAGAUUAGGUAGUUGGUGAGGUAAUGGCUCACCAAGCCUGCGAUCUGUAACCGGCCUGAGAGGGCGGUCGGUCACACUGACACUGACAUAC
rnacentral:rRNA from 1 species